UACCUUUCUUGUCUUCUUGUCUUCUUUAUAUAUCUUCCUAGGCCCUUAUCCUAAAAUUGGACUUGUUCUUGCUAUUUUAGGAAUUGUCCUAACAAGGGAAGGAAGGAAAUAAUUAGACAAAAGAGAGAGUAGUGUAAGAAAGAAGAAAUAAGAAAAAAAUUUGAAUCCAUCAGAACCUCGGCGCGCACCCCCUUUUAUAUCCGAAGAUCGGAUGCAUUCGCACUGUUCCAACCCAAUUCCCAUGCCCAAAAAUCACACCUUUCCAGCUUUGAAAUAUCGGUCCAAGUCUUAUCUAAUACAUGGAAUUAUCUAAAUUAAUUCAAGAGUCACUUCAAAGUAGAAGGACUCUUCGAAAUUAAUUCUCCAGUG
rnacentral:lncRNA from 1 species